GCGCGAAAACUUUACAAUGCUGGCAACAGCGAUAAGGGAACCUCGAGUGCCAGGUUACAAAUCUGGCUGUCGAGAUGCCUAAAAAGCAUUUCAUAGCAAGGGCCGGGCAAGACCGGUGCCAGCCGCCGCGGUAACACCGGCGGCUCGAGUGGUAACCGUUAUUAUUGGGUCUAAAGGGUCUGUAGCCGGCCGGAUAAGUCUCUUGAGAAAUCUGGCAGCUUAACUGUCAGGCUUUCAGGAGAUACUGUCUGGCUCAAGGCCGGGAGAGGUGAGAGGUACUUCAGGGGUAGGGGUGAAAUCUUGUAAUCCUUGAAGGACCACCAGUGGCGAAGGUGUCUCACCAGAACGGACCUGACGGCAAGGGACGAAAGCUAGGGGCACGAACC
rnacentral:rRNA from 1 species